CGCCCACUUCCCAUGCAGAAGGAAGGGUGAGGGAGCCAGGGUGGUAGAGAAUGUCGUGAAAUACAGACUCUAGAGCAAAGUUAUCCAAGAUCGUGGGCUGGAGGAGGCCUUUUGGCUCGGACCUGAGCAGAAGCUUUGUAGCAGAGCAAUAUGCUGCUAUUCUACAGAACACUACGCCAGUUUCCUUCACUGAAGGGGUUUUCUGGAAAUUAAGGCAGUGUUCUUGGACAAAAAAAUCUAAAACCACUUUAUAACCAGACUUCACCUUCACCUUUUGUAGUAACAGUCUGGUGGUUCUCAAGGGCAGCUUCCUUCUAAGUUGUGGGAUCCAGGUGGCUUGCCUCAUGAAGAAACACUGCCUAGCUUUCAGGCACCAAAUAUCACUGGUCAAGAGAAAUUCCAGAAUUCUGCUGGCAGGUACUAUGAAAUCGUUUACCCUACGAGUGUGGGGAGUUGGUGAUUAAGCUCCUAGAGUUGCUCUUGAAUCUGAGGGUCCCAGACCCUACUUAUCAUGAGGUAUUUGGUUUUGUUUUUUUUUUUUUUUCUUUCCAUCCUUGUUGGGCACAUUGAAAAUGGAUCUUGGGUUUUGCUCUCCUUUGUGGCUGCAUAGCUUUGUCAGUCUGAUUUCUGACCUUGGAGAAUUGUGGAGCCAAGGGUUGUUUUAAGCAUUGAACAA